AGGCGCGAAAACUUUACCAUGCGGGAAACCGUGAUAAGGGGACACCGAGUGCCAGCAUCAUAUGCUGGCUGUCCGGGUGUGUAAAAUACACCUGUUAGCAAGGGCCGGGCAAGACCGGUGCCAGCCGCCGCGGUAACACCGGCGGCCCGAGUGGUGAUCGUGAUUAUUGGGUCUAAAGGGUCCGUAGCCGGUUUGGUCAGUCCUCCGGGAAAUCUGAUAGCUCAACUAUUAGGCUUUCGGGGGAUACUGCCAGACUUGGAACCGGGAGAGGUAAGAGGUACUACAGGGGUAGGAGUGAAAUCUUGUAAUCCCUGUGGGACCACCUGUGGCGAAGGCGUCUUACCAGAACGGGUUCGACGGUGAGGGACGAAAGCUGGGGGCACGAACCGGAUUAGAUACCCGGGUAGUCCCAGCCGUAAACGAUGCUCGCUAGGUGUCAGGCAUGGCGCGACCGUGUCUGGUGCCGCAGGGAAGCCGUGAAGCGAGCCACCUGGGAAGUACGGCCGCAAGGCUGAAACUUAAAGGAAUUGGCGGGGGAGCAC
rnacentral:rRNA from 1 species